UACGUAGGGGGCAAGCGUUGUCCGGAAUCAUUGGGCGUAAAGAGCGUGUAGGCGGCCAGAAAAGUCCGCUGUGAAAACUCGAGGCUCAACUCUGAGACGCCACUCGAUACUGCUCUGACUCGAGUCCGGUAGGGGAGCGUGGAAUUCCCGGUGUAGCGGUGAAAUGCGCAGAUAUCGGGAGGAACACCAGUGGCGAAGGCGGCGCUCUGGGCCGGAACUGACGCUGAGGAGCGAAAGCGUGGGUAGCAAACAGG
rnacentral:rRNA from 1 species